CAACUUCUAACGGUGGACCCCUCGGCUCGUGCAUCGAUGAAGAACGCAGCAAACUGCGAUACGUAGUGUGAAUUGCAGAAUUCAGUGAAUCAUCGAGUCUUUGAACGCAAAUGGCGCUUCUGGUCCU
rnacentral:rRNA from 1 species